rnacentral:lncRNA from 1 species
UUCCUCAAGCCUCAGUCUAUCUGGUUACUGUGUCUUCCUGAUCUGUUUUCCCCAGCAGGUCAGAAGCCAUUUCACAGCACUGGCCCCAGCUCAGCUGUCACCCAUCACACAGCUCUGGCUCCAUUUCUCAUGCCAGGGCUCAGCCUGAAGCAGCAGCUGAUGUCAGGUAGGCAGGGCAGUGACACACAAGGGACACCUCACAGCUGGAUUUACCUGUGUCUUAUAAGUUUUUCUUUUUCACAUUUAAUGACUCUUGUAGGUUUGGGAUGAUUUUCACUUUUCUCUUGAAAGAAGUCAAGGAAGGGCAAUUUCCAAAGCUUGUCAAGUGUCAUCAACCCAGAACCUGAAGUUAGCAAUGGAUGAAAACUCAAGUGGUGGAGAUUUGGCAGCUGGCUGGAGCUAACAAUGACAAGCUAAGAGGAUGGAUAAUGCUCAAAGAAAAUGAAAGUUUCUGUAAAUCCUACUUUUAUCUUCUCUAUGUAGACACACUUGGAUGCUUUUUACAAUGAACAGCACAACACUGCAGUCCAGGAUGACAGAGUGGCCUCCAGAACAAGACUUAGAAGGUCUGUCAGAGACAGACCCCAAUGGCAUUAAUCUCAAGAGGAAAACAGCAAUGCUGCACCCAAGUAAACUGACAUCUCCUCUCAGCAUGGGAUAAUAAAGUCAGUCUUUGCCAUAGACCUACAUCCAGAGAGAGUGAGGGUUGUCAGCACGUGGAGGACUGAAGCAGCACAGGUUACUGCAGGCAUUGGAACUUCUCUCCAUUGAUUUCCACUUGACAGAAUUUCUUUUUUUUUUUUUUUUCAAAGAUGACACAAAAUAUCUUUGGUAUUGUUGAGCAUAUUUAUUUUGCUGAAAAUGAAUUGGUGGUGAAGUCUUUCUUCUCCAAUUUUCCUUGGCAACCCAGAAACUCUAUAAAUAACAGCUUUGGCUAGACUUUUCUUCAUUCUUUUCUAGAGGUUCACUUGUACAGGAAAAUUAUGUACCCAGGCCAUGGAGCAUCCCUUUAAUACAAAAUGUAAUUUUGCAGCAUUCUCCUUGGUGAUGUGACUUCCCUAUGAAACAUCUAUUUCUGUGAGGGUGGGAAGUGUUGCCAGACAGGCUCUCAUAUUGUUAUUGCCUUCUCUGAGUACUUUUUGGUAAUUUCUUAUGUGACUGAUUAAAGCAAAUUGUUGCUAUUCAAUGUACUAUCUUACAAAGGGGAUAUUACCUGUGAUAGUGAGAAAGCUGUACUGGGCAAUUUAAAUUAGGCUGGAAGAGAAAUCAAUGCCUAUUUUCAACUUGGUCCCUCUGUUAGACAUUAGCCAUUAUUAUUAUUCAUAUUUAAACUGCAGAGGCCUUUAAUUUUUUUUUUUU